rnacentral:rRNA from 1 species
AUUGAACGCUGGCGGAAUGCUUUACACAUGCAAGUCGAACGGUAGAGGGGGCAACCCCUCGAGAGUGGCGAACGGGUGAGUAAUGCAUCGGAACGUACCCAUUAGUGGGGGAUAACUCUCCGCAAGGAGGGCUAAUACCGCAAAUUCUGUGAGCAGGAAGGCAGGGGAUCGCAAGACCUUGCGCUGCUGGAGCGGCCGAUGUCAGAUUAGCUAGCUGGGGAGGUAAAGGCUCACCAAGGCGACGAUCUGUAGCGGGUCUGAGAGGGUGAGCCGCCACACUGGAACUGAGACACGGUCCAGACUCCUACGGGAGGCAGCAGUGGGGAAUUUUGGACAAUGGGGGCAACCCUGAUCCACCCAUGCGCGGGAGUGAAGAAGGCCUUCGGGUGGUAAAGCUCUUUCGGCCGGGAAGAAAUCGCAUGGGUUAAUACCCUGUGUGGAUGACGGUACCGGAAUAAGAAGCACCGGCUAACUACGUGCCAGCCGCCGCCGUAA